GAUGAAGAACGUAGCGAAAUGCGAUAAGUAAUGUGAAUUGCAGAAUUCAGUGAAUCAUCGAAUCUUUGAACGCACAUUGCGCCCGUCAGUAUUCUGGCGGGCAUGCCUGUUCGAGCGUCAUUACGCCCCUCAAGUCCCCUGUGGACUUGGUGUUGGGGAUCGGCGAGGCUGGUUUUCCAGCACAGCCGUCCCUUAAAUUAAUUGGCGGUCUCGCCGUGGCCCUCCUCUGCGCAGUAGUAAAACACUCGCAACAGGAGCCCGGCGCGGUCCCUGCCGUAAAACCCCCCAACUUUUUAUAGUUGACCUCGAAUCAGGUAGGACUACCCGCUGAACUUAAGCAUAUCAAUAAGCGGAGGA
rnacentral:misc_RNA from 1 species